rnacentral:rRNA from 1 species
GAUGAACGCUGGCGGCGUGCCUAAUACAUGCAAGUCGAGCGAACGGACGAGAAGCUUGCUUCUCUGAUGUUAGCGGCGGACGGGUGAGUAACACGUGGAUAACCUACCUAUAAGACUGGGAUAACUUCGGGAAACCGGAGCUAAUACCGGAUGAUAUUUUGAACCGCAUGGUUCAAAAGUGAAAGACGGUCUUGCUGUCACUUAUAGAUGGAUCCGCGCUGCAUUAGCUAGUUGGUAAGGUAACGGCUUACCAAGGCAACGAUGCAUAGCCGACCUGAGAGGGUGAUCGGCCACACUGGAACUGAGAAACGGUCCAGACUCCUACGGGAGGCAGCAGUAGGGAAUCUUCCGCAAUGGGCGAAAGCCUGACGGAGCAACGCCGCGUGAGUUAUGAAGGUCUUCGGAUCGUAAAACUCUGUUAUUAGGGAAGAACAUAUGUGUAAGUAACUGUGCACAUCUUGACGGUACCUAAUCAGAAAGCCACGGCUAACUACGUG